GGGGAAUAUUGCACAAUGGGCGAAAGCCUGAUGCAGCAACGCCGCGUGAGUGAUGAAGGUCUUCGGAUUGUAAAGCUCUGUCUUUUGGGACGAUAAUGACGGUACCAAAGGAGGAAGCCACGGCUAACUACGUGCCAGCAGCCGCGGUAAUACGUAGGUGGCGAGCGUUGUCCGGAUUUACUGGGCGUAAAGGGUGCGUAGGCGGAUGUUUAAGUGAGAUGUGAAAUACCCGGGCUUAACUUGGGUGCUGCAUUUCAAACUGGAUAUCUAGAGUGCAGGAGAGGAGAAUGGAAUUCCUAGUGUAGCGGUGAAAUGCGUAGAGAUUAGGAAGAACACCAGUGGCGAAGGCGAUUCUCUGGACUGUAACUGACGCUGAGGCACGAAAGCGUGGGUAGCAACAGGAUUAGAUACCCCG
rnacentral:rRNA from 1 species